AAGCCAUGUUUUAUGUGUGGUGGUGGAGUCUAUUUAAAGUGAACUUUACUGCACUUAACCAAUUACAAUUGUUUUAUAUGUUGUUUUUUUCUUUUAUUGCCAGAAACCACAGAAGAAAGAGGAGGUAGCAUGAUGUGGCCAUUGUGACGGCAGAAAAUUGUUUUCUUCUUAUACUUAAAGUCAUUUAUGAAACGGAUUUCCACGACAGCCAUCCCUGGCAUCUUGGUAAGAGGAGGAUAAAAAGAAGGAGAAGUAGGAGAGCAACGCAGAAAAUAAACCAAAAACAAUAAAAUAUACCUUUUAUAUUUCCACA